CAUUAAGAAGCUAUGAACCAGCACUAGCCUUUUAAGCUAGAGAAAGGGGACUGAUAUCCUCCUUAAUGG
rnacentral:tRNA from 1 species